rnacentral:rRNA from 1 species
AGAGUUGAUCCUGGCUCAGGACGAACGCUGGCGGCGUGCUUAACACAUGCAAGUCGAACGAGAAUCACCGGAAGGAGUUUCGGACAACGGAAGGUGAGGACAGUGGCGGACGGGGUGAGUAACGCGUGAGGAACCUGCCUUUCAGAGGGGGACAACAGUUGGAAACGACUGCUAAUACCGCAUGACACGUAGAGAUCGCAUGGUCUUUACGUCAAAGAUUUAUCGCUGAAAGAUGGCCUCGCGUCUGAUUAGCUUGUUGGUGAGGUAACGGCCCACCAAGGCGACGAUCAGUAGCCGGACUGAGAGGUUGGCCGGCCACAUUGGGACUGAGAUACGGCCCAGACUCCUACGGGAGGCAGCAGUGGGGAAUAUUGGGCAAUGGGCGCAAGCCUGACCCAGCAACGCCGCGUGAAGGAAGAAGGCUUUCGGGUUGUAAACUUCUUUUGUUGGGGACGAGUAGAAGACGGUACCUGACGAAUAAGCCACGGCUAACUACGUGCCAGCCGCCGC